UACGGGGGGGGCAAGCGUUGUCCGGAAUUAUUGGGCGUAAAGAGCUCGUAGGCGGCCUGUCGCGUCGGCUGUGAAAACCCGAGGCUCAACCUCGGGCCUGCAGUCGAUACGGGCAGGCUAGAGUUCGGUAGGGGAGACUGGAAUUCCUGGUGUAGCGGUGAAAUGCGCAGAUAUCAGGAGGAACACCGGUGGCGAAGGCGGGUCUCUGGGCCGAAACUGACGCUGAGGAGCGAAAGCGUGGGGAGCGAACAGG
rnacentral:rRNA from 1 species